UACAGAGGGUGCAAGCGUUGAUCGGAAUUACUGGGCGUAAAGCGUGCGUAGGCGGUUACGUAAGUCGGGUGUGAAAGCCCCGGGCUCAACCUGGGAAUUGCAUUCGAGACUGCGUAGCUAGGGUGCGGAAGAGGGAAGCGGAAUUUCCGGUGUAGCGGUGAAAUGCGUAGAUAUCGGAAGGAACACCAGUGGCGAAAGCGGCUUCCUGGUCCAGCCCUGACGUUCAGGCACGAAAGCGUGGGGAGCAAACAGG
rnacentral:rRNA from 1 species